GCGGGGGUUCCCGAGUUGGCCAAAGGGGCAGGACUUAAGAAUCGAAACAUGGAUUUGAGAAAUCCUGUGUGCGUAAGCCUUCAGGGGUUCGAAUCCCUUCCCCCGCA
rfam:Candidatus Altiarchaeales archaeon WOR_SM1_86-2 WORSMTZ_26369, whole genome shotgun sequence.